UACAGAGGGUGCAAGCGUUAAUCGGAAUUACUGGGCGUAAAGCGUGCGUAGACGGUUGCGUAAGUCAGAUGUGAAAGCCCCGGGCUCAACCUGGGAAUUGCAUUUGAGACUGCGUAGCUAGGGUGCGGAAGAGGGAAGCGGAAUUUCCGGUGUAGCGGUGAAAUGCGUAGAUAUCGGAAGGAACACCAGUGGCGAAAGCGGCUUCCUGGUCCAGCACCGACGUUCAGGCACGAAAGCGUGGGGGGCAAACAGG
rnacentral:rRNA from 1 species